rnacentral:rRNA from 1 species
GAUGAACGCUAGCUACAGGCUUAACACAUGCAAGUCGAGGGGAAACGAUGAGAGAGCUUGCUCUCUUAGGCGUCGACCGGCGCACGGGUGAGUAACGCGUAUCCAACCUGCCCAUUACAGGGGAAUAACCUUGCGAAAGUAAGACUAAUGCCCCAUGGUAUUCUCAGCAGACAUCUAAUGAGGAUUAAAGAUUUAUCGGUAAUGGAUGGGGAUGCGUCUGAUUAGCUUGUUGGCGGGGUAACGGCCCACCAAGGCGACGAUCAGUAGGGGUUCUGAGAGGAAGGUCCCCCACAUUGGAACUGAGACACGGUCCAAACUCCUACGGGAGGCAGCAGUGAGGAAUAUUGGUCAAUGGACGAGAGUCUGAACCAGCCAAGUAGCGUGCAGGAAGACGGCCCUAUGGGUUGUAAACUGCUUUUAUAGGGGAAUAAAGUGAUCCACGUGUGGAUUAUUGUAUGUACCCUAUGAAUAAGGACCGGCUAAUUCCGUGC